rnacentral:rRNA from 1 species
GACGAACGCUGGCGGCGUGCUUAACACAUGCAAGUCGAACGGAAAGGCCUGCUUUCCCUUGUGGAUUGCGGGUACUCGAGUGGCGAACGGGUGAGUAACACGUGAGUGAUCUGCCCCCAACUUGGGUAUAAGCCUGGGAAACUGGGUCUAAUUCCCGAUAGGACUGCAGGGUGGUGCCUGUGGUGGAAAACGAUUUUCUAGUGGUUGGGGAUGAGCUCGCGGCCUAUCAGCUUGUUGGUGGGGUAAUGGCCUACCAAGGCGGCGACGGGUAGCCGGCCUGAGAGGGUGGACGGCCACAUUGGGACUGAGAUACGGCCCAGACUCCUACGGGAGGCAGCAGUGGGGAAUAUUGCACAAUGGGCGGAAGCCUGAUGCAGCGACGCCGCGUGGGGGAUGACGGCCUUCGGGUUGUAAACUCCUUUCGACCGCAAGGAAGCCACCUGGUUGGAAGGGUGGUGACGGUAGUGGUAGAAGAAGCACCGGCUAACUACGUG